GAUCAUGGCUCAGGAUGAACGCUAGCUACAGGCUUAACACAUGCAAGUCGGAGGGGCAGCAUGAACUUAGCUUGCUAAGUUUGAUGGCGACCGGCGCACGGGUGAGUAACACGUAUCCAACCUGCCGAUGACGUCGGGGAUAGCCUUUCGAAAGAAAGAUUAAUACCCGAUGGCAUAGUUCUUCCGCAUGGUGGAACUAUUAAAGAAUUUCGGUCAUCGAUGGGGAUGCGUUCCAUUUAGGG
rnacentral:rRNA from 1 species